rnacentral:tRNA from 3 species
GGAAGCUGAUGGGAUCUGGUGGUCUUCGCGGUCUUCAAAACCGUUGGUUGCAUAAUCCGCAACGGCAGGUUCGAUUCCUGCCUCUUCCG